rnacentral:rRNA from 1 species
AAAAACAUUGCUUUUAGAUACAACAUUAAAAGUUCAUCCUGCCCAGUGAUACUUCAACGGCCGCGGUACCCUAACCGUGCAAAGGUAGCAUAAUCAUUUGCCUUUUAAUUGAAGGCUAGUAUGAACGGACAAACGAAAUUACUACUGUAUCCUCCUUACCAAAUAAAAUUUAGACUACAGGUGAAGAUACCUGUAUCACAUUGAAAGACAAGAAGACCCUAUAGAGUUUUAGUUUUAAAUACCUACCCACUACUUAAUAAACUUUGGUUGGGGCGACCUAGGAAUUCUAUAAACAUCCUUUAAAGAACCGACUUCAUGUCUCCUAACAGAUCCUAAUAAUAGAACUCAAAACAAACUACCUUAGGGAUAACAGGCUUAUCUUCCUAGAGAGUUCAAAUUGACAGGAAGGUCUGGCACCUCGAUGUUGGCUUAGAAUAACCUAGUAACGCAAAAGUUAUAU